ensembl:lincRNA
UGCUAGAUGAGUGGAGCACCUCUCAGGCUGGAACAUAGAAGAGUCGAAUGCUCAGGUUUCUGACCUCACCACUUUCCUGCAAGGCGAACUUCUUCACUGUCUCUCCCUCCAGCACUGCCCAGGAUGUAGAGUCUAGCAUUACUACUCAGGAGGCUUGUCACCAUGCUCAGGAAAGCAGUGUGCAUGUGCGAAGAGUCCAGGGUCUGGACACAGUGAAGAGGACUGAGAAUAAUGAAGACACAAUGGCCAGACCUAUCUCCAGGGGAGAAGCUCGUGAGUGUGGAGUUUUGAUCCGAGGAUUCAGAGAUGAAGACGGUACUACCCUUGAAGAAUUUACAAUCUAGUAAGAGUGAGUGACAAAGAGAGUGACACAGAAACACAAAAUUACAGUUAGGUGGAGGAACCAGGAUUAGGGUUCACUUUGAACCCGCCUGGCCCAGGCCCCCCAGUGACCACUUGUGGAAUAACAUUGUAUAGAAUGGGUCAAAUAGAAGUCAGGGACAGGAGAGAGAAAGCUGGUGCGCAGUCACAGAAGUCACUGCACUUUUGAGCAGCUUUAAAUAGGGCUCUGGUCAGCGGCUGCAUAGCAACCUUCUUCUUCAUUUGAAUUUACUCCCUGCAGAAUUAAUUGCUGAAGUCUUUCAAGAAGCAGUGGGGAAGUAUUGCUUGCCCUCAAGACUUUCUGAUUUGGUGAAGGUUGUGCUUAUGACGUCUCUGAGAGGAAGAUUUUAUAUCCUUUAUAUCUUUUAUAAAGCCUUUUAGAGUGCUUAAUUUAGAUAUGUGUACACACAAGCAUACACAGUAUGUGACGAUGUGAAUUUGGUUGUUUGACUGACUUGAAGUCUGAAGCCAAAGAGCAAAAUUGAUUUGGGGUUUCUAUAAGGCUGCUCUCGCUCUGCCCUAAAGGAAGAUGUGCCACGAGAAUGUCAAACGAUAGUUUAAAAGAAGAAAUGCAAGACCUAUCAUGGAAAGGUACAAGAUCCCGACGAUGAAUGUAACUGUACUGUAUACCUAAAAUGUACCAAUAAACUCAAUGAGGAAAAAAAAAGAAGAAGAAGAAAUGCAGAAUUAUGCAUUCCUCCUGGUUAUUGCGUAUAAAUGGCUUCCUUGCCUGAAAGAUCAUGUUCCAGGGGAACCAGCAAGUAACUGGCUUAAUACUGUUGGUCCCUGUGCCAUGGAGUGGACUGAGUUCUUCCCCGCGCUGUGUGGGGAUCGUGUCCACAAUGCCCAGUGCAGGAGGUGGGCAUUAAUUAAGGCUAAUGGCCUAUAAUUGGAGCUGCCUUUCUUCCUCCUCCCAUUCUCUGAGGCUGGGACUGUCAGAAGCCUAGUUUUCACUGAAGCGUCAUAAUUAACGCCGAGCCUAAUGUGAAAGACAGAUGAGGUUGAAACCCGAAAUAGCUCAGCGCUACCCAAGGGUGUGUGUGCGUGGAGCUGUGGGGAGCAGGCCUGGGAAAGAGGAGGUUGGCAUUUCAUUUGACCUCCAAAAGUUUCCCCUUCACAGAGGGAGUUUGGGGGUCAACACUGUGGUCCUCCCUUCACGUUCCUGGAGGUCAUAUUCUACAAUACUACAAUAGUCACUGAUGGACCGGGAUUUGAGAGUCCGGACUCUGGAAGUGCGGGAACCCCACACGGCGAGUCUCAAAUUGUCUGUGGUCCCUCUUUCUUAUUUGUAAGAGAAGAUUUUCUUUUGCACGAGGCUGAUAUCUUUUUUGGUUGGAAGCUCAGGGACCUGGGAGGGCUGAUAAAUGUAAUAAUGUCUGUAAAGCCUUAGGAGUGCCUUGGAAGAAAAUUCAAGGUAUUUCUCUUAUUACUGCUGGUAUUCCAAUUCCCUUGAACUCUGAGAACCCAUUUAAGUGAUUACUUCAUGAGGAGGCUAGCAGAAAAGCAAGACUAAUAUAUUUCUUCAUUCGGCAGCUCCCACACAGUAAAAGACCCUAGAUGCACUUAACAGUCACUAUCCUAUUCUCACUCUUUUCCCCAUGGUUCUGCUUAGUACAUAAUGAACUAAACACCUGUAAUUUAUCUCCGAAGAAAAUUAGAUUCCCUGAACCUUCCUGCAGGUGGCUAGCAGCACCCCUAGUGCACGUGCACUAGUAUUCCCUAACUUCUAUAAUGUUGGAGAACUUGGAGGAAGGUAAAGUAGGGGGAAUGCAUUUGCCGCAUCUCAACCUAGGAUGCUUGGAGAAAUGGGCAACAGCCAAAGAGAAAACUGUUAAACAGUCUCAGUUCUCUGAUUUCCUUGAGGACACUUUUUUUGGAUUAUUAAAGCAGAAAACUCAUUGGUUUAAUUUCCAUCCUGAGCCAGUGUUUAGAAGAGGAUCCCUAAAUGUAUGUAAUUUUCCUCUUCCCAACACAGGCAGGUACUAGAGGAGUGUCACAUGGUGCUAGAUGUAAAGAGAAGAGUAGGGAUUGUUGACAGGACUAAGGGACGAUUGACACGUUGGAGACAUUGACUUAUUAAACACACAGCUACAGGGUGCUCCUUGACUUGGCAAGCUUAAGCCAUGCAGCCUCCUCCCGAGCAGAUGAGAAAUGGCAUCCAGCUAUUCACAGCCACUGCACAUCCACAAAUGCUGGAGGCACCCACGUUCACAAAACAGCUGCUAUGUUUUUGUAGAUUGUUUUUAUGCCCCAGUGUUUUGUUUCAUUUUGUGAUCCUCUCAUUUGAGCAGCAAUCUACAGAGUCAUUAAGUUCCUUCAUCAUAAAUUUCUCUGGGUCAUUUGGAUUUUUAUUCUGAUGCUUGGCCAUACUGGCAAUUAAGACCUGUUCAGAUGGGCUUAAACUGUUAUCAGCCUUUGUUUCCUGAUUUGCAAACUCCCACUGACAUUUGGUGAUUUACCUGAGCUGAAAUAUUUGAAAAUACAAAUAGUCUGAGUCAGUGUAAGUAUCUUAGGGUUGCUUGGGGGAAG